rnacentral:rRNA from 1 species
AGUGAACGCUGGCGGUAGGCCUAACACAUGCAAGUCGAACGGCAGCACAGUAAGAGCUUGCUCUUACGGGUGGCGAGUGGCGGACGGGUGAGGAAUACAUCGGAAUCUACUUUUUCGUGGGGGAUAACGUAGGGAAACUUACGCUAAUACCGCAUACGACCUACGGGUGAAAGCAGUGGAUCUUCGGACCUUGCGCGAUUGAAUGAGACGAUGUCGGAUUAGCUAGUUGGCGGGGUAAAGGCACACCAAGGCGACGAUACGUAGCGGGUCUGAGAGGAUGAUCAGCCACACUGGAACUGAGACACGGUCCAGACUCCUACGGGAGGCAGCAGUGGGGAAUAUUGGACAAUGGGCGCAAGCCUGAUCCAGCCAUACCGCGUGGGUGAAGAAGGCCUUCGGGUUGUAAAGCCCUUUUGUUGGGAAAGAAAAGCAGCAGGUUAAUACCCCGCUGUUCUGACGGUACCCAAAGAAUAAGCACCGGCUAACUUCGUG